rnacentral:tRNA from 1 species
CCUGAUGGCUUAGAUGGUAAAGAAUCUGCCUGCAAAGCAGGAGAUUUGGGUUCAAUCCCUGAAUCAGGA